rnacentral:tRNA from 1 species
GCCGCGUCAUUAAAGGCGUAGGGGGCAGAUUCAAAAUCCGCCGCCGCAAGGUGUGUGGGUUCGAGUCCCACUCUCGGCACCA